rnacentral:rRNA from 1 species
AGCAGCCGCGGUAAUUCCAGCUCCAAUAGCGUAUAUUAAAGUUGUUGCAGUUAAAAAGCUCGUAGUUGAAUUUCGGGAUCAAUAUGUUUGGUCGUGCCUCGGUACGUACUAGCUUAUUGGUUUCUCCUUUCUGAAGAACCAUGAUGUCAUUCAUUUGGUGUCGUGGGGAAUCAGGACUGUUACUUUGAAAAAUUAGAGUGUUUAAAGCAGGCUCACGCUUGAAUACAUUAGCAUGGAAUAAUGAAAUAGGACGUUUGAUUCUAUUUUGUUGGUUUCUAGGAUCGACGUAAUGAUUAAUAGGGAUAGUUGGGGGCAUUAGUAUUCAAUUGUCAGAGGUGAAAUUCUUGGAUUUAUUGAAGACUAACUACUGCGAAAGCAUUUGCCAAGGAUGUUUUCAUUAAUCAAGAACGAAAGUUAGGGGAUCGAAGACGAUCAGAUACCGUCGUAGUC